GGAGCUUGCUCUGUGGGAUCAGUGGCGAACGGGUGAGUAACACGUGAGCAACCUGCCCCUGACUCUGGGAUAAGCGCUGGAAACGGCGUCUAAUACUGGAUAUGUGACGUGACCGCAUGGUCUGCGUCUGGAAAGAAUUUCGGUUGGGGAUGGGCUCGCGGCCUAUCAGCUUGUUGGUGAGGUAAUGGCUCACCAAGGCGUCGACGGGUAGCCGGCCUGAGAGGGUGACCGGCCACACUGGGACUGAGACACGGCCCAGACUCCUACGGGAGGCAGCAGUGGGGAAUAUUGCACAAUGGGCGCAAGCCUGAUGCAGCAACGCCGCGUGAGGGACGACGGCCUUCGGGUUGUAAACCUCUUUUAGCAGGGAAGAAGCGAAAGUGACGGUACCUGCAGAAAAAGCGCCGGCUAACUACGUGCCAGCAGCCGCGGUAAUACGUAGGGCGCAAGCGUUAUCCGGAAUUAUUGGGCGUAAAGAGCUCGUAGGCGGUUUGUCGCGUCUGCUGUGAAAUCCGGAGGCUCAACCUCCGGCCUGCAGUGGGUACGGGCAGACUAGAGUGCGGUAGGGGAGAUUGGAAUUCCUGGUGUAGCGGUGGAAUGCGCAGAUAUCAGGAGGAACACCGAUGGCGAAGGCAGAUCUCUGGGCCGUAACUGACGCUGAGGAGCGAAAGGGUGGGGAGCAAACAGGCUUAGAUACCCUGGUAGUCCACCCCGUAAACGUUGGGAACUAGUUGUGGGGUCCAUUCCACGGAUUCCGUGACGCAGCUAACGCAUUAAGUUCCCCGCCUGGGGAGUACGGCCGCAAGGCUAAAACUCAAAGGAAUUGACGGGGACCCGCACAAGCGGCGGAGCAUGCGGAUUAAUUCGAUGCAACGCGAAGAACCUUACCAAGGCUUGACAUAUACGAGAACGGGCCAGAAAUGGUCAACUCUUUGGACACUCGUAAACAGGUGGUGCAUGGUUGUCGUCAGCUCGUGUCGUGAGAUGUUGGGUUAAGUCCC
rnacentral:rRNA from 1 species